CCUACGGGGGGCAGCAGUGAGGAAUAUUGGUCAAUGGCCGGAAGGCUGAACCAGCCAUGCCGCGUGAAGGUCAGUGCCCUAUGGGCGUUAAACUUCUUUUGUGCGGGAGCAAUAAUGGUCACGUGUGGCCAGACGAGAGUACCGUACGAAUAAGCAUCGGCUAACUCCGUGCCAGCAGCCGCGGUAAUACGGGGGAUGCAAGCGUUAUCCGGAUUUAUUGGGUUUAAAGGGUGCGUAGGCUGUGAGGUAAGUCAGCGGUGAAAUGCCCCCGCUCAACGGGGUGAAGUGCCAUUGAUACUGCCUUG
rnacentral:rRNA from 1 species